UCAUUCCUAGUCAGCUCGGAUUACAAAAAGCUCUACGAAUUCGUCGAGAAAGAGGGCAGAGAGGUCGUGAAGCUGGCCGAGGAAGAAUACGGUCUAACGAAAUCCGACUCCAUCAACAACAUUCUGUUUGUUCUUGGGUUUAAUGCGUUCGGAGGUUUCUCAGUGUUCUUGCCCACACUAAUCACAACAGUCGGGAGGGAUAAAUCUGGACUGCGCGACAGAUUGAGAGCAGAGGUGCGGAGUGUGAUGGCAGACAAAACAGAGCUCGAUUUCAAAGCUGUGGUGGAGAUGGAGCUGGUGCGGUCGACAGUGUACGAGGUUCUGCGAAUGAACCCGCCGGUGCCGCUGCAGUACGGGCGAGCGAGGUCUGACUUUGUGGUGAAUUCACAUGAGUCGAGCUACAAAGUCGAGAAGGGCGAGCUGCUCUGUGGGUACCAGCCGCUGGUGAUGCGGGAUCCGGUGGUGUUUGAUGACCCUGAUACGUUCAUGCCGGACAGGUUUACAGGUGUGAAAGGGAAGGAGCUGUUGCAGUAUCUGUUUUGGUCGAAUGGGCCGGAGACGGCGACGCCGACGGCCGGAAACAAGCAGUGCGCGGCUAAGGAUUUUGUCGUGUUUACUGCGUGUAUGCUCGUGGCUCAGAUUCUCAACAAGUAUGAUGAAUUUGAGUGUGACGAUGGAAAUUUGGCCUUCAGUAAGCUGAAGAAGAAGACGGAGAGCGUGAUUGUCUAGUCGCUUUAAGUUUAAUUAUCUUCCAGUUCACUGUUUCGAUAUUGUUGUUUUGUUCGGUAAGAAACUGUUGUUGAG
rnacentral:misc_RNA from 1 species